CGGAGUGGGGGUGGUGGAGAGAAAAAGGGAGGUGCGGCGGCCAGCCCGGGCUGAACCACUCAGCGAGACGGGGGUCCUUCCGGCCGCCUCGCCUUUGGACGCCUUGUCACUGGGAGCCAGUGACUCUCGGCCAUGUGGAGGUGGCCAUGUUGGCUGGCCCGCGGGCGCGUCUUCGCACGGCCGUUUUCUUCCCACCCUACUCUCCGCCGGCGGGUGGAACUGCUGAGGGGCGCCGGCCCAGUUGUUAGUAAUUUCUUGGUUAAUGGCUUCCUUGAAAACGGCUGGAAAGAGAAUUAAUGAGAGUGCUGCCAUCGAUUUAAACAGCGCCAUCCUCUCCUCAGCGUGUCACCUUUCCCUGACCCUGAUGUGGAGGCCACACGCUGUCUUCUGUCAGAAAGGAGGCCACUGCUGAGGCUGCCCUGGCCUGUCUGGCUUUCCUGUGUCUCUGAGAAGACAAAAAAGAAAAUCGGGGUUAAGUGAUUUCAAUCUUUUGUUGAAGAUAGUAUUGAACGAGUAUUUCUUUUUCUUGGGAGGAAAAUCCCCAUGCACGCCCUUGAAUGUGCUUUGGAAGGUCUCUUCGCAGGGGAAACGGUCUGUUCUUGCACGAAGCUUUCACUUUAAAAUGUCCACCUGCGCUUGUCCUAGUUUUGCCCAUUAAUGGAAUUACAGAGAGACAGGGAAAAGGAGCGAAACGAAACAUGAGCCGACAAGGAGUAGGGGAAUCGGGAAGCGAUUUCGUGGCGUCCCUGAGAGGAGGGAAGCAUGGGAAGGGUGGGUGUCAUGGUGGCCCUCAGCGCCAGGGGAGUGACAAGAACACCAGGACUCGUGAUGUUCCUAGGAGAUCGCCUGCUCCGAGCGUAGGUCGCACUUUAUCCUGGGGAGGUGGACACAUCCCUUGUAACGAACGGCCUUCAGCUGCCUAUCGCUAGAAUUAGGUAAAUUAUGAAGAAAAUGCCUCUAGGUAAAAGGUGUAUUCGGGGGAGAAAAGAUGGGAAUUUGCAGAAGAAAACAAAGGAAGCACUUGAACUGUGCUAAGGGCUUCAACAAAGAAGGACAAAGAGAGUCUCAUCUCUAGACUUUUCGACCAGGCAGCCAGAGAAGGUUAUAUGCAAAAAGAGGCAAUAGUUUAUUCUUACUGGUUGUUUUUUUACUUUUCAAACUAAUCCUUCAUGGAAAAUAACUAUAAUACUGUUUCAUCAUUUUUUGCUUUAGAGUUAUUUCACUUUUUAAAAAGAAUACCAUUUUAUUAACCCACAAUAAUAGAAUUGUCAAUUGAAGCUGCAUGUGUAGGCUGGUCAGUGCAUUAUCUGCUAGCAGAAAAAUCUAUACAGGAAGCCAGGAUAUAAUUCAAAGAUUAUUUUGUUAAUAGGCAGAAAUAUAAUUAGGUUAGUUUACUAAUAGGGAAACCAAAGAAGGAGAUUACAUGGUUGGCUCAUUAAAUCCUGAUGCCUUUUUGCUACCAACUCCACAGUGGGCUCUUCCUGCCAAGUCUGAGGUAAAAAGAGGUUGUUUGCUCAACAGUUAAAUGUCAGGGACAGGACUGCAAAACCCUACUCUUAAUCACUGUAUUUUACCCUUACCUAGAGCAAGAAAGAGAAGUAGGUACAGCUGAUCUAAUCUCCUUGCUAGGAAAAGCCCACUGUAGAGUUGGUAGCAAAGAGGCAUCAGACAAAAUUCCGCUCUUUUACAUUAGGUUUCUUUUAGUAGCAGUUCAAUUUAUUAAAUUGUUGCAUCAAAACAAAGCAGAAGCCCGGCAUGUUGGCAACCCUGUAAUCCCAGGAGGAUGAAAAUUGGAGGCAAGCCUGCACUACAUACUGUAUGUAGCAAGACCCUGUCUCAAAAAAACAAAGAGCCAGAUGAGGUUGUACACAUCUGAAAUCCCAGCACUUGGGGUGCUGAAGCAGGAGGAUCACUGAGAGUUUGAGAGGCCAGUUUGCACUACAAAGCAAGAUCCUAUUUAAAAGAAAAAACAAAAACAGCUUGAACUCCAUAGUGAGACCCUGUCUCAAAAAACCAAACCGAAACAAAAAAACCAAAACAACAACAAAGCCCAACUCAUUUUCAUUGAUUUUAUAUUAUUAACAUUAUCCAUUGCCUUCUUCCAUAAGUAUUUACAUCUGUGAGGCAUACCCAGGUACUAAUGCGAUGAAAGUCCUGAUUGCUGCCUAUUUCAGGCUCUAAAUGCAGAUGCCUGGCUAACUUCUUACCCUUUCCUUCCCAGGUCAGCUGCUACUUCCUGGGUGAAGCUUUCACUUACAGAGAUUUCUCACAAGGUUCUGUGUUUUCUUUCAUGGCACUAAGAGCAGCUUGCAAUUACAGAUUUGACGGGGUUUUUUUUGGAUAAAUGACUCCAAUUCCUAGUUAGGUUUGUAAACUCCAUGAUAAAGUGGUUUGAGUUUGUGAAGUUUUACCUUGAAUGCCUGGCGCAUACAAGGUGCUUAAGAGUGUUUGGGUGGUAGUAGGAGAAGGGAGAGGAAGAAAGAAGACAAAAGGAUUAUGAAUAUAAGGGAUGGUAGAAGAAAGUAGGGAAACCCUUGAGCUCAUGUGAAAUAACAUCCUGCUUUGUUGCAGUCACAAACAUUAUAAUUAAUAAAAUUGAGAACUCUACCAACAGAGAAACAUGGCCAUCCUGUUCCAAGAAGAAUGAGAUAUCUGGACUGAGGAUUUAGCUCAGUGGUUUCGCUGCCUGCCUUGCAAGCGCAAGGACCCAAGUUCGAUCCCCGGUACAAAAAAAAAAAACAAUGAGAUUUCUCAUUUCAUAGGUUAGUGCUUUGAGGGUAAAAUAAAUCAGGAGGAGUAAUUGGUUUAGUUCAUAUUUAGCAUUAAUGAGAUUUGUUGAAUGUGAAAUACUGGAAAGGAAAAAAUCUAAUCACGGCCUAAAGACUCCAGAUUUGUCAACCCACAAAGCAUCAAUGUAGCAAUACCCCAGUGAAAGCAGCAAAGUUGGGAUAAAUAAGCUGGUAACUGUGACUCAACAAGGAUAACAACUCUAGGUCUUAUCAGUCUACCAAUCUGGUAAGGGAGAAAGUUCCAGUAAAUCAAACCUCUAAGAGCUUCUGGCAAGAAGACCACAAGGCAAGAGGAUCACAAGUUUGAGCCCAGCCUGGGCAACUUAGCACCUUAGCCCAGACCCUGUCUCAAAAUAAAAAAUAAAAAAGGCCUGGGAAUGUGCUCAAUGAGCAGGCCUUGGGUUAAGUCUCCAGUACUGAAAAAAAAAAAAAAAAGAAAGAAAAAAUGCUUUUGCAGUGCAAAAACUGACUUGGAAGAAAAGAGUAAGGUGCUACUCAAGCUCCUAGAUUAUGAGUCUUUUUUUUUUUUUUUUUGGUACCGGGGAUCGAACUUGGGACCUUGCACUUGCAAGGCAGGCACCGGAACCACUGAGCUAAAUCCCUGGCCCUUAGAUUAUGAGUCUUAAUACCUUGUGUGUAUGUCUGCCUUGAAAGCAUAAGGUCCUGAGUUCAAUCCCUGGUACCAAAAAAACCCCAAAAAAACAAAAAACAAAAAACUUGUGUGUAAAGGAUGGGCCAGGGGGAAACUAACAUAGGACAGAUGUCUCUACACUGUGCAAAUGUUUAUGGUCAAAGUUUGGACUCUCAGAUGAUCACAGAAGCAAGCUAGCCCUAGUAGGAUCAAAAAGGAGUACUAUGUCACUGGGCUUGGCAUUGCAUGCCUGCAAUCCCAGCACUUGGGAGGCCUAGGCAGGAGGAUUGUCCUGAAUUCAAAGCCAGUCUGGGUUACGUGUGAGUUCAAGGCCAGCCUGCAUUACAAAGCAAGACCCAGUCUUAAAAGACAAAAAAAACGAGCCCUAUGUGAAUCCUCUCAUUUUUAGCCUUUUUGUAUUUUGUUUUCUAUUUCUCUGUUUUUCUUUCUUUUUUUUUUUUUUUGUGCCAGGGAUCGAACUUGGGACCUUGUGCUUGCGAGGCAGGCGCCAGAACCACUGAGCUAAAUCCCCGGGCCUGUUUUUCUUUCUUGAUAGUCAAAUCUUUUUACAGUCUUAAUAAAGAAGUACAGGAUAGAAAAAUGCAUAGGGUACUGAAGCAGGAUAGAAAAAAUAAAAACUAUGUAAAAAAGACAUCAAGAUUUUAAAAUUUUAUUUAUUUUUAUUUUUUAUUUUUGGUACCAGGGAUCGAACUCUGCAGGCGGUGGUACCACUGAGCUAAAUUCCCAGCCCUUAAAAUUUUAUUUUUAGGAAAAACUGAAGCUUCAAGACACAAAAGUUACUCAAACUGUUUUUUCCCUUCCAGGAAACUCACUUUAAAAAAAACCCGAAACUCCUGAUGGUCCUUUUACAAUAAGCCUAUAAAUCCAGGCUUUUAACCUGUCCUUUUCAAAUUUGUCAGUUGCACUUCCUUGCUGGACAUGGUGGUACAUGCAUCUAAUCCCAGCAGUGAGGAGGCUGAGGCCUGGAGGAUUCCUGCAAGUUCGAGGCCUGCCUGGGCUACCUAGUGAGUUCAAGGCCUGGAACUAUAUAGUGAGACCCUGUCUCAAAAAAAAAAAAAGAAAAAAAGACACUGAAGGAGAUGAUAAUAUGAUGGCAAUAACUAGUAGCUACAAUUUAUUGUGCCAGGCACGGUGGUAAUAUCUAUUCCUUUGUUUGUUUGUUUGUUUAACUGAUUUUAAUAACAUGACAUAAAGCCCCUAGAAUUGAUAUAAUCAUUACGCAAAAUACAUAGAUGAAUACUGUCUUCUUUUUUUUUCUUUUUUUGGUACCAGGGAUCAAACUUGGGUCCUUGCGCUUGCAUAGCAGGCGGUGAAACCACUGAGCUAAAUCUCCGGCCCAAUACUGUCUUCUUUUAAAAAUAUAAAGUAAAUAAGCAAGAUGUGAAAAUACGCAAGUUUCCACUAAAUAAAUGAAAGCUUUAGAAAAGGAAAGUUUUCCUUUCUAUGUCAUUUGAAGAAGGGAAAUUAUCAUUUUAAACAAUAUUCAAGUUUAUUAAACAAAUUUAAAAAGGUAUUAUAAAAUGUUUAACUUUCAUCAGCUUCAAGGUUUAUGUUGCUGCCUAAUUUAGCAUAUAACUGAACUUUCAAAUCUGCUAACACCCGCUGAAUUGAUUCUACUCUGGAUUCUAAGGCAUCAAUUUCUUCUUGCAAAUUUUUCUUUGCUUCUUCUAACGUGCCUUGUGUUUCUUCUUGAGAAUGGCUAAUGAAAACAUCACCAAUCUGGUAAGGUAUCAUUAAACUGGGGCUGGGGAUUUAGCUCAGUGGUUCUAGUGCCUGCCUCGCAAG